rnacentral:rRNA from 1 species
UACAGAGGGGGCCAGCGUUAUUCGGAAUUAUUGGGCGUAAAGGGCGCGUAGGCGGCUUUGCGUGUCUUUCGUGAAAUCCCUCGGCUCAACUGAGGACGUGCGGAAGAAACUGCAGGGCUGGAGUCCGGGAGAAGAGGGUGGAAUUCCCAGUGUAGCGGUGAAAUGCGUAGAUAUUGGGAGGAACACCGGUGGCGAAGGCGGCCCUCUGGACCGGUACUGACGCUGAUGCGCGAAAGCGUGGGGAGCAAACGGG